rnacentral:rRNA from 1 species
UACGUAGGGUGCAAGCGUUAAUCGGAAUUACUGGGCGUAAAGCGUGCGCAGGCGGUUCGCUAAGACCGAUGUGAAAUCCCCGGGCUUAACCUGGGAACUGCAUUAGUGACUGGCGGGCUAGAGUAUGGCAGAGGGGGGUAGAAUUCCACGUGUAGCAGUGAAAUGCGUAGAGAUGUGGAGGAAUACCGAUGGCGAAGGCAGCCCCCCUGGGCCAAUACUGACGCUCAUGCACGAAAGCGUGGGGAGCAAACAGG